UACCAAUCUGGAGAAGAGCACCAUAGGCCUGAUCCAAAAGCUAUUAAAGUCAAUGGAAAGGGUCCCAUUGAUUUGAAUGGGCUUUGGAUCAGGCCCUAAUUGCACUGAUGUUCCUUUUACUA
rnacentral:pre_miRNA from 15 species